AGUUUGUUUGUUGUGUUUUGCAAUCAAUCAACAAGUAAAUUAAUAAAAAAGAAUUAAAUAGAGAAGCCAUGGAUUUUGAAAUCUCAGAUCUGGACCUUCAUAUUAUUACUAGUUCUGCAGAGCGAGAGAGAGAGAGCAAGACGAAUAUGGUGGGCGGUGGCAACCGGAGCAGAGGUGGUUCAAAGGUGUGAACACUUUGCUUGGUCGGUGUGGGUGAUCGUGUGAAGUGAUUUUUUGUUAUAUUUGCAGGCUGGAAGAAGAAGAGGAUGGAGAAGAGAUGUGGUACAUAGGAAAAAGAGAAGCACACUUUAAUCUAAGCCAUUAAUUUUUAAUCCAAAGACUGAAAUUCAUUCUCAUAUUCUCAUAUAUUUAAAUCAUUCUCAUAAUAU
rnacentral:lncRNA from 1 species